AGAAUCAACGCUGGCGGCGUGCCUAACACAUGCAAGUCGAACGCGAAAGGGGAGCAAUCCCUGAGUAGAGUGGCAAACGGGUGAGUAACACGUGGGUGACCUGCCUUCGAGUGGGGGAUAACGUCCCGAAAGGGACGCUAAUACCGCAUGACAUCCUGUCCUUGGAAGGACGGAGAUCAAAGCUGGGGAUCGUAAGACCUGGCGCUUGAAGAGGGGCCCGCGCCUGAUUAGCUAGUUGGUGGGUAACGGCUCACCAAGGCGACGAUCAGUA
rnacentral:rRNA from 1 species